GUUGAACGCUGGCGGCAGGCCUAACACAUGCAAGUCGAACGCGUGGCGGACGGGUGAGUAAUGUCUGGGAAACUGCCUGAUGGAUGGGGAUAACUACUGGAAACGGUACCUAAUACCGCAUACCAUCGGAUGUUCCCAGAUGGCAUUAGCUAGUAGGUGGGGUAAAGGCUCACCUAGGCCACGAGCCCUAGCUGGUCUGAGAGGUUGACCAGCCACACUGGAACUGAGACACGGUCCAGACUCCUACGGGAGGCAGCAGUGGGGAAUAUUGCACAAUGGGCGAAAGCCUGAUGCAGCCAUGCCGCGUGUAUGAAGAAGGCCUUCGGGUUGUAAAGUACUUUCAGCGGGGAGGCGUUACCCGCAGAAGAAGCACCGGCUAACUCCGUGCCAGCAGCCGCGGUAAUUC
rnacentral:rRNA from 1 species